rnacentral:rRNA from 1 species
ACGCACGCUGGCGGCGUGCUUAACCCAUGCAAGUCGAACGGAAAGGCCCUGCUUUUGUGGGGUGCUCGAGUGGCGAACGGGUGAGUAACACGUGAGUAACCUGCCCUUGACUUUGGGAUAACUUCAGGAAACUGGGGCUAAUACCGGAUAGGAGCUCCUGCUGCAUGGUGGGGGUUGGAAAGUUUCGGCGGUUGGGGAUGGACUCGCGGCUUAUCAGCUUGUUGGUGGGGUAGUGGCUUACCAAGGCUUUGACGGGCAGCCGGCCUGAGAGGGUGACCGGCCACAUUGGGACUGAGAUACGGCCCAGACUCCUACGGGAGGCAGCAGUGGGGAAUAUUGCACAAUGGGCGGAAGCCUGAUGCAGCAACGCCGCGUGCGGGAUGACGGCCUUCGGGUUGUAAACCGCUUUCGCCUGUGACGAAGCGUGAGUGACGGUAAUGGGUAAAGAAGCACCGGCUAACUACGUG